rnacentral:rRNA from 1 species
UACGUAGGUGGCAAGCGUUGUCCGGAUUUAUUGGGUUUAAAGGGUGCGUAGGCGGUUCCAUAAGUCAGUGGUGAAAUACGGCAGCUCAACUGUCGAGGUGCCAUUGAUACUGCGGAACUUGAGUACUGAUGAGGUAGGCGGAAUUGACGGUGUAGCGGUGAAAUGCUUAGAUAUCGUCAAGAACACCGAUAGCGAAGGCAGCUUACCAAGCAGUAACUGACGCUCAGGCACGAAAGUGCGGGGAUCAAACAGG